rnacentral:pre_miRNA from 1 species
ACGACAAUCGGACUGUCGGUCUGCUGAACAAUGUCGCUAGCUCGGUGGAAGAUCUUCCAUCCGUCGU